GACAGAGGAUGCAAGCGUUAUCCGGAAUGAUUGGGCGUAAAGCGUCUGUAGGUGGCUUUUUAAGUCCGCCGUCAAAUCCCAGGGCUCAACCCUGGACAGGCGGUAGAAACUACCAAGCUGGAGUACGGUAGGGGCAGAGGGAAUUUCCGGUGGAGCGGUGAAAUGCGUGAGAGUAGCGAAAGAACACCAACGGCGAAAGCACUCUGCUGGGCCGACACUGACACUGAGAGACGAAAAGCUAGGGGAGCGAAUGGG
rnacentral:rRNA from 1 species